UACGAAGGGGGGCUAGCGUUGCUCGGAAUUACUGGGCGUAAAGCGCACGUAGGCGGGUUCUUAAGUCGGUGGUGAAAUCCUGGAGCUCAACUCCAGAACUGCCUUCGAAACUGGGAAUCUUGAGUCCGGGAGAGGUGAGUGGAACUGCGAGUGUAGAGGUGAAAUUCGUAGAUAUUCGCAAGAACACCAGUGGCGAAGGCGGCUCACUGGCCCGGUACUGACGCUGAGGUGCGAAAGCGUGGGGAGCAAACAGG
rnacentral:rRNA from 1 species